rnacentral:lncRNA from 13 species
GGGCAAUAUAUGUUUUAUUUCAUUACAGGAUUUGAUGAAAUCAGGAAAGUUUCCAUGUGGAGAUGAAACUUCCCAGAGAAGAAGGAACUGAAUGGCCAAAAUCAAAGAUAAGGAGUUUUCUAGGUCAAAUAAUCAUACGUUCUCACGCCAGCAACAUUUUAAUAAAAGUUUUCAAGUGCAACCCACCUGUUGGAUAUUUGUUUCAGAAAGAGAGCUACACGACAAAGCUUAACAACUUUGAAAAAGCCCCAGAUCUCCUGGAACAGGAUACCUAAUAUAAGAGAUAAGUUCCCAAGAACAAAACGGGAAGCACUAAUGAUGAAAGAAAAAAAUUAAAAAUUGAACUUCACACAAAUUUAAACACAUCAAAAGACACCAUUAAGAAAACAAAGAGUUGAAUCAAAAAAAUGAAAGAAAAUAUUAGCAAAAUGUAUUUGAUAAAGAACUUUGAUUAGUUUUGUAUUGUUGCAAAUUACCACAAAUUUAGUGACUUAAAACAACACAUAUGUAUUAUCUUCCAGCUCCGUUGAUUGGAAGUCCAGGUGGGCUGGACUGGUUUCUCUGCUCUGUGUUUCGCAAGGCCAAAACCAAGGUGUCAGCUACUCUGGGCUCUUAUCUGGAGGCUCUAGGGGAGAAUCCAGUUCCAAGCUCAUUCAGGUUGUUGGCAGGAUUCAGUUUCUUGAGGCUGUAAGGCUGAAGUCCUCAUUUCCUAGCUGGCUGUCAGCCAGGAGCCUCUUUUAGCUCCCAGGCUGUCUAUAUUCUUUGUCACAUUGUCACCUCUAUCUUUAAAUCAGCGAUGGUGUACUCAGUUCUCUCUCAGCCUUCACAUCCCUCUGACUUUUCCUUCUGCUUCCAAAGACAGAGAAAGUUCUCUGCUGUUAAGGGCUCAUGUGAUGAGAUUGGGUCCACCCAAAUAACCAAAGACAAUCUUCCCAUUUUAAGGUCCCAAACCCUCAUUACAUCUGCAGAAUUCAUUUGACCUUAUAAUGUAACAUAUACACAGAAUCCAGGAAUUAGGGAAUGGAGAUUUUUGGGGGCCAUUCUGCCUACCAUGGACAUAUCCGAAAUACAUUAAAAAAGAUCUCAUGCUACUUAAUAAGACAUAUAACCCCG